rnacentral:rRNA from 1 species
CAGUCGCCGCGGUAACACAGAGGGUGCGAGCGUUAAUCGGAUUUACUGGGCGUAAAGCGUGCGUAGGCGGCUUCUUAAGUCGGAUGUGAAAUCCCUGAGCUUAACUUAGGAAUUGCAUUCGAUACUGGGAAGCUAGAGUAUGGGAGAGGAUGGUAGAAUUCCAGGUGUAGCGGUGGAAUGCGUAGAGAUCUGGAGGAAUACCGAUGGCGAAGGCAGCCAUCUGGCCUAAUACUGACGCUGAGGUACGAAAGCAUGGGGAGCAAACAGGAUUAGAUACCCCCGUAGUCCCUGUCUCUUAUAC